rnacentral:rRNA from 1 species
CUGCCCAAAACACCUAGCUAUGCCACACCCACAAGGGAAUUCAGCAGUGAUUAACAUUGAGCAUUAGCGCAAGCUUGACUCAGUCAAAGUAAACAGAGCCGGCUAAUCUGGUGCCAGCCGCCGCGGUUACACCACGUGGCUCAAGUCGACCUCCUCCGGCGUAAAGCGUGAUUAAAGUUACACACCACUAGAGUAAAAUUAAAACUGAGCUGUGACACGCCUGUUUAUUAAGAAACUCGAAAACGAAAGUUACUCUAAUUUAAUCAACUUGAAUUCACGACAGCUGGGGAACAAACUGGGAUUAGAUACCCCACUAUGCCCAGCCGUAAACUUUUAUUUACACUCAAAUCGCCAGGGAACUACGAGCUAAGCUUAAAACCCAAAGGACUUGACGGUACCCCACAUCCCCCUAGAGGAGCCUGUCCUAUAAUCGAUAAUCCACGUUUAACCUCACCAUUUUUAGUUAAUCAGCCUGUAUACCUCCGUCGUCAGCUUACCCCGUGAGCGUCAAUUAGUGAGCUUAAUGUUAUUUCACCAAUACGUCAGGUCAAGGUGCAGCAAAUGAAAUGGAAAGAGAUGGGCUACACUUUCUAUAUUAGAAGAAACGAAAAACUAUUUAUGAAACCUAGUUAGAAGGCGGAUUUAGCAGUAAAAAGGAAUCAGCAUGUCCAUUUUAACCCGGCACU